rnacentral:rRNA from 1 species
UACAGAGGGUGCAAGCGUUGUUCGGCAUUAUUGGGCGUAAAGCGCGCGCAGGCGGUUUCUUAAGUCUGAUGUGAAAGCCCACGGCUUAACCGUGGAAGGUCAUUGGAAACUGGGAGACUUGAGUGCAGAAGAGAAGAGCGGAAUUCCACGUGUAGCGGUGAAAUGCGUAGAGAUGUGGAGGAACACCAGUGGCGAAGGCGGCUCUUUGGUCUGUAACUGACGCUGAGGCGCGAAAGCGUGGGGAUCAAACAGG